GUUUGCCCACCUAUCUCCAGCUAGGGGAGACUGUGAUAAGCCCUAUUUCAACAAAAGGCGGUGUGUUCCUUUAAGUUAGCUUCAUGUUUUUGCUG